AUUGAACGCUGGCGGCAUGCCUUACACAUGCAAGUCGAACGGCAGCACGGGUGCUUGCACCUGGUGGCGAGUGGCGAACGGGUGAGUAAUACAUCGGAACAUGUCCUGUAGUGGGGGAUAGCCCGGCGAAAGCCGGAUUAAUACCGCAUACGAUCUACGGAUGACAGCGGGGGACCUUCGGGCCUCGCGCUAUAGGGUUGGCCGAUGGCUGAUUAGCUAGUUGGUGGGGUAAAGGCCUACCAAGGCGACGAUCAGUAGCGGGUCUGAGAGGACGACCAGCCACACUGGGACUGAGACACGGCCCAGACUCCUACGGGAGGCAGCAGUGGGGAAUUUUGGACAAUGGGCGAAAGCCUGAUCCAGCAAUGCCGCGUGUGUGAAGAAGGCCUUCGGGUUGUAAAGCCCUUUUGUCCGGAAAGAAAUCCUUGGCCCUAAUACGGUCGGGGGAUGACGGUACCGGAAGAAUAAGCACCGGCUAACUACGUG
rnacentral:rRNA from 1 species